GAAACGACUGCUAAGACUGGAUAGGAGACAAGAAGGCAUCUUCUUGUUUUUAAAAGACCUAGCAAUAGGUAUGCUUAGGGAGGAGCUUGCGUCACAUUAGUUAGUUGGUGGGGUAAAGGCCUACCAAGACUAUGAUGUGUAGCCGGGCUGAGAGGUUGAACGGCCACAUUGGGACUGAGACACGGCCCAAACUCCUACGGGAGGCAGCAGUAGGGAAUUUUCGGCAAUGGAGGAAACUCUGACCGAGCAACGCCGCGUGAACGAUGAAGUAUUUCGGUACGUAAAGUUCUUUUAUUAGGGAAGAAUAAAUGAUGGAAAAAUCAUUCUGACGGUACCUAAUGAAUAAGCCCCGGCUAACUAUGUGCCAGCAGCCGCGGUAAUACAUAGGGGGCAAGCGUUAUCCGGAAUUAUUGGGCGUAAAGGGUGCGUAGGCGGUUAAAUAAGUUUAUGGUCUAAGUGCAAUGCUCAACAUUGUGAUGCUAUAAAAACUGUUUAGCUAGAGUAAGAUAGAGGCAAGUGGAAUUCCAUGUGUAGUGGUAAAAUGCGUAAAUAUAUGGAGGAACACCAGUAGCGAAGGCGGCUUGCUGGGUCUUUACUGACGCUGAGGCACGAAAGCGUGGGGAGCAAACAGGAUUAGAUACCCUGGUAGUCCACGCCGUAAACGAUGAGUACUAAACGUUGGGUAAAACCAGUGUUGAAGUUAACACAUUAAGUACUCCGCCUGAGUAGUACGUACGCAAGUAUGAAACUUAAAGGAAUUGACGGGACUCCGCACAAGCGGUGGAUCAUGUUGUUUAAUUCGAAGGUACCCGAAAAACCUCACCAGGUCUUGACAUGCUUCUGCAAAGCUGUAGAAACACAGUGGAGGUUAUCAGUUGCACAGGUGGUGCAUGGUUGUCGUCAGCUCGUGUCGUGAGAUGUUGGGUUAAGUCCCGCAACGAGCGCAACCCUUAUUGUUAGUUACCAGCACGUAAUGGUGGGGACUUUAGCAAGACUGCCAGUGAUAAAUUGGAGGAAGGUGGGGACGACGUCAAAUCAUCAUGCCCCUUAUGACCUGGGCUACAAACGUGAUACAAUGGCUGUUGCAAAGGGUAGCUGAAGCGCAAGUUUUUGGCGAAUCUCAAAAAAACAGUCUCAGUUCGGAUUGAAGUCUGCAACUCGACUUCAUGAAGUUGGAAUCGCUAGUAAUCGCGAAUCAGCAUGUCGCGGUGAAUACGUUCUCGGGGUUUGUACACACCGCCCGUCA
rnacentral:rRNA from 2 species